GCUGAAGCACCAGUUCCCGUACGAUCAGUGAAGUUAAGCAACGUUGAGCUUGGUCAGUACCUAGAUUGCUGACCACCUGGAUAUACCAGAUGCUGUAAG